GACGAACGCUGGCGGCGUGCCUAAUACAUGCAAGUCGAGCGAACAGACGAUGCGCUUGCUCCUCUCACGUUAGCGGCGGACGUGUGAGUAACACGUGUAUAAUCUACUUAUAAGACUGGUAUAAUCUCGGGAAACCGGAUCUAAUACGGGAUAACAUGCUGAACCGCAUGGUGCAACAGUGAAAGACGGUCUUGCUGUCACUUAUAGAUGGAUAUGCGCCGCUUUAGCUAGUUGGUAAGGUAACGGCUUAUCAAGGCAACGAUGCGUAGCCGACCUGAGAGGGUGAUAGGCCGCACGGGAACUGAGACACGGUCCAGACGACUGCGGGAGGCAGCAGUAGGGAAUCGUACGCAAUGGGCGAGAGCCUUACGGAGCAGCGCGAAGUGAGUGACGAAGGUCUUCGGUGCGUAAAACCCUGUUAUUGGGGAUAAACAAAUGUGUAAGGAAAUGUGCACGUCUUGACGGUAACGGGUAAGAAAGCCACGGCUAACUACGUG
rnacentral:rRNA from 1 species